AAAUAGAUGAGUUUGGUGAUGGCUCUGAUUGAAUGCUGUCCAAGUGCUUGACACAUGCUAAUCGUACGUUUUAAUUGGUAGUUUACUACAUAAAUUAAAAAGUGGUGUACAGGUGAGUAUAAUGAUAUUCUUAGCCGACCUUAAAGUGGAGGUAAAUCCUUCAUAAUACAUAAAGGGAUAAGUAAUCCCGCUUUAAGAGGACAAUAAAUAUCUUCGGGAUAGGUAGUAGUUAAGGUGAUGGCUUAACUAGCCUAAAACUCUCGUAGUCGAAUCUGAAAGGUUGAUCGACCACAUUGGGUCUGAAAAAACCCCAAUGCAAGUUAGUACAGCAGUGAGGAAUCUUGGUCAAUGGCCUAACGGCUGAACUGGCAACUUGGAGAAGUGGCAAGUCUUAUUUUGAUUAUAUUAUUAUAUAUAAUCUAUAAGAUUGUAUUAAAAUUGAAUAAAGCUUUGUUUAUAUAUCGAUAAUGACGGUAUAUAUAUCGUGUCUUGGCUAAUUACGUGCCAGCAGCCGCGGUAAUACGUAAGAGACUAGUGUUAUUCAUCUUAAUUAGGUUUAAAGGGUACCUAGACGGUCAAUAUAGCUUCUAUAAUGUUAGUACUUGACUAGAGUUUGAUAUAAGAGGGCAGUACUUGAGGAGGAGAGAUGAAAUUCUAUUAUACCAAAGGGACUCGGUAAAGGCGAAGGCAGCCCUCUAUGUAAAAACUGACGUUGAAGGACGAAGGCACAGAGCACAAACAGGAUUAGAUACCCAAGUAGUCUUUGCAGUAAAUGAUGAAUGUCAUAGGUUAGAUUAAGCUUUAAUUAAUUAGUUUA
rnacentral:rRNA from 1 species